ACCUGAUAAUAACUCGAUAAGUUAUCGUGUUGACCUGAAAUCCGUUAUUUUCGUGUCGUUUUCGUUUCGUGCCAGAAACUGUCAGGUUUACUCUCUAGGGUUCCUAGGUCUUCUUGGAUUUCACUAGGAGAGAGUCUGCACGAUGUUCGUAUACGGCGAUUUGUGUCGAGUGACCUUGAUCUUGUGUUCGUAGUUCUACGGGCAUAGGUAAGUGGUUGUUUGGUCCAACUAAUCCACUUUGUUGGAGACAUUUUCAGCUGAUGGUUCAGGCUGGUUUUGCAGCGUGUGGAAGUCAUGGUCGCAUGCUUUGCUGCACGGUUGACGCUCAUUGCACAUCAAUGGUUGAAUGCUAACAAGUUUGAGGGCGGAAGAUCCCCUUGAUUUGCUUAGGGGUAUUUUGUAAUUUGCUUAUGUAUUGACAUUUGAGGAUAGGUCAUUUCGUUGUGCGGGACACUCUUUUUCCUUCGACCGAGUUGAAAGCUUCGGCAAGGUUUUAUUGAGGACCACUGUGCACACUCCUCAGUUUGUUCUCAAAUUGUACUUGUUCUGUGUUGUUUGAAAUGAAUAUUGAAUAUCGUCUUU
rnacentral:lncRNA from 1 species